UACAGAGGGUGCGAGCGUUGUUCGGAAUUACUGGGCGUAAAGCGCACGUAGGCGGAUAUUUAAGUCAGGGGUGAAAUCCCAGAGCUCAACUCUGGAACUGCCUUUGAUACUGGGUACCUUGAGUAUGGAAGAGGUAAGUGGAAUUGCGAGUGUAGAGGUGAAAUUCGUAGAUAUUCGCAGGAACACCAGUGGCGAAGGCGGCUUACUGGUCCAUUACUGACGCUGAGGUGCGAAAGCGUGGGGAGCAAACAGG
rnacentral:rRNA from 1 species